rnacentral:tRNA from 1 species
GGUCUUUUAGCUUAAUGGUACAGAGCACUCAGCCAGAAUUUGAUAGGCGCAGGGUUCGAUUCCCUGUGAGGCUU